rnacentral:rRNA from 1 species
AUUGAACGCCGGCGGCAGGCCUAACACAUGCAAGUCGAACGGUAGCACAGAGAGCUUGCUCUCGGGUGACGAGUGGCGGACGGGUGAGUAACGUCUGGGAAACUGCCCGAUGGAGGGGGAUAACUACUGGAAACGGUAGCUAAUACCGCAUAACGUCGCAAGACCAAAGUGGGGGACCUUCGGGCCUCACACCAUCGGAUGUGCCCAGAUGGGAUUAGCUAGUAGGUGGGGUAAUGGCUCACCUAGGCGACGAUCCCUAGCUGGUCUGAGAGGAUGACCAGCCACACUGGAACUGAGACACGGUCCAGACUCCUACGGGAGGCAGCAGUGGGGAAUAUUGCACAAUGGGUGCAAGCCUGAUGCAGCCAUGCCGCGUGUAUGAAGAAGGCCUUCGGGUUGUAAAGUACUUUCAGCGGGGAGGAAGGCGGUGAAGUUAAUAACUUCACCGAUUGACGUUACCCGCAGAAGAAGCACCGGCUAACUCCGUGCCAGCCGCCGCAGUAA